AACUUUUAGUUUAAUUAGAAUUUUUCACUUACAAUGAAAGGGUUAAAAGUUUU
rnacentral:tRNA from 1 species